rnacentral:rRNA from 1 species
GGAUCCAGACUUUGAUUCUGGCUCAGGAUGAACGCUAGCUACAGGCUUAACACAUGCAAGUCGAGGGGCAGCGGGAUUGAAGCUUGCUUCAAUUGCCGGCGACCGGCGCACGGGUGAGUAACGCGUAUCCAACCUUCCGUACACUCAGGGAUAGCCUUUCGAAAGAAAGAUUAAUACCUGAUAGUAUCUUAAGCACACAUGUAAUUAAGAUUAAAGAUUUAUCGGUGUACGAUGGGGAUGCGUUCCAUUAGGUAGUAGGCGGGGUAACGGCCCACCUAGCCAACGAUGGAUAGGGGUUCUGAGAGGAAGGUCCCCCACAUUGGAACUGAGACACGGUCCAAACUCCUACGGGAGGCAGCAGUGAGGAAUAUUGGUCAAUGGACGAGAGUCUGAACCAGCCAAGUAGCGUGAAGGAUGAAGGUCCUACGGAUUGUAAACUUCUUUUAUAAGGGAAUAAACCCUCCCACGUGUGGGAGCUUGUAUGUACCUUAUGAAUAAGCAUCGGCUAACUCCGUGCCAGCAGCCGCGGUAAUACGGAGGAUGCGAGCGUUAUCCGGAUUUAUUGGGUUUAAAGGGAGCGCAGACGGGUCGUUAAGUCAGCUGUGAAAGUUUGGGGCUCAACCUUAAAAUUGCAGUUGAUACUGGCGUCCUUGAGUGCGGUUGAGGUGUGCGGAAUUCGUGGUGUAGCGGUGAAAUGCUUAGAUAUCACGAAGAACUCCGAUUGCGAAGGCAGCACACUAAUCCGUAACUGACGUUCAUGCUCGAAAGUGUGGGUAUCAAACAGGAUUAGAUACCCUGGUAGUCCACACGGUAAACGAUGGAUACUCGCUGUUGGCGAUAUACUGUCAGCGGCUUAGCGAAAGCGUUAAGUAUCCCACCUGGGGAGUACGCCGGCAA